rnacentral:rRNA from 1 species
UACGGAGGGUGCAAGCGUUAUCCGGAUUCACUGGGUUUAAAGGGAGCGUAGGUGGGUCUGUAAGUCAGUGGUGAAAUCUCCGUGCUUAACAUGGAAACUGCCAUUGAUACUAUAGGUCUUGAAUUAUCUGGAGGUUAGCGGAAUAUGUCAUGUAGCGGUGAAAUGCUUAGAUAUGACAUAGAACACCAAUUGCGAAGGCAGCUGGCUAGAGGUAUAUUGACACUGAGGCUCGAAGGCGUGGGGAGCAAACAGG